UAAGGUCUCUAUUACCUUAGCCCAAGCCUCUAUCUCUAGCUCAUAAGGAUUCUACUACCUUAUCGAAGCUAACCACCCGACUCGGCUUCGAGUCAAUCAUCCGCGGAUAUUCCGCGCACUGGCUGCUCAACAGCCUACCGCUCUCCGUGACUUAGCCUCUUAGCGGCGAAAUCAUCGCACACGUUGAACCCGGCUCAAGUCCCUUGACAUAGCCAUUCUGGCGGCGAACACGUUGC
rnacentral:lncRNA from 1 species